rnacentral:rRNA from 1 species
UACGGGGGGGGCAAGCGUUGUUCGGAAUUACUGGGCGUAAAGGGCGCGUAGGCGGCCGAUCAAGUCAGAUGUGAAAGUCCUGGGCUUAACCUGGGGACUGCAUUUGAUACUGAUUGGCUUGAAUUCGGGAGAGGAUAGCGGAAUUCCCAGUGUAGAGGUGAAAUUCGUAGAUAUUGGGAAGAACACCGGUGGCGAAGGCGGCUAUCUGGACCGACAUUGACGCUGAUGCGCGAAAGCGUGGGGAGCAAACAGG